AGAGUUUGAUCCUGGCUCAGGAUGAACGUUGGCGGUGUGCCUAAUACAUGCAAGUCGAACGGUGACGAUUUUGUAGCAAUACGAAUGAAAUCAUAGUGGCGAACGGGUGAGUAACGCGUUGGUGAUCUGCCUCGAAGUGUGGAAUAACUUCCCGAAAGGGUAGCUAAUACCGCAUAGUCUCUCAAGGUUUAGAAAAUUGAGAGUAAAGGAUUUAUUCGCUUCGAGAGGAGCCUGCGUCCCAUCAGCUAGUUGGUAGGGUAAUAGCCUACCAAGGCAAUGACGGGUAGGGGACCUGAGAGGGUGGCCCCCCACAAUGGAACUGAAACACGGUCCAUACACCUACGGGUGGCAGCAGUAGGGAAUAUUAGAAAUGGGCGAAAGCCUGAUCUAGCAACACCGCGUGUGCGAUGAAGGCCUUCGGGUUGUAAAGCACUUUUUGGAGGGAAUAGGAAGGAAGGUACCUCCAGAAUAAGUCUCGGCUAACUACGUGCCAGCAGCCGCGGUAACACGUAGGAGGCAAACGUUAUCCGGAUUCACUGGGCGUAAAGCGCGUGUAGGUGGUUCUGUAAGUAGGGCGUGAAAGCUCCCGGCUCAACUGGGAGAGGCCGUACUAAACUGCAGAGCUAGAGGAUGGUAGAGGGAGGUGGAAUUCCAGGUGUAGUGGUGAAAUGCGCAGAUAUCUGGAGGAACACCAGUGGCGAAGGCGGCCUCCUGGACCAUUCCUGACACUCAGACGCGAAAGCUAGGGUAGCAAACGAAAGGAGAGACUCCGGUAGUCCUAGCCCUAAACGAUGCAGACUAGGCGUCGGCGGUUUAAUCACCGUCGGUGUCCAAGCUAACGCGAUAAGUCUGCCGCCUGAGGACUACGGCCGCAAGGCUAAAACUCAAAGGAAUAGACGGGUCCCCGCACAAGCAGCGGAGCGUGUGGUUUAAUUCGAUGCUCCGCGAAGAACCUUACCUGGGUUUGAUAUAACAGUGGUAGAGAAGUGAAAACGGAUCGACCCUUCGGGGAGCUGUUACAGGUGUUGCAUGCCUGUCGUCAGCUCGUGUCGUGAGAUGUUCGGUUAAGUCCGCUAACGAGCGCAACCCCCAUGUUUAUUUGCCAGCAUUUCGGAUGGGAACUAUAGACAGACUGCCGAUAAGAAAUCGGAGGGAGGUGGGGAGGACGUCAAAUCAUCAUGCCCUAUAUGUCCUGGGCUACACACGUGCUACAAUGGUCGUUACAGAGAGCAGCUACACAGUGAUGUCACGCGAAUCUCAAAAAGGCGAUCUCAGUUCGGAUUGUACUCUGCAACUCGAGUACAUGAAGUCGGAAUUGCUAGUAAUCGCAAAUCAGAAUGUUGCGGUGAAUGCGUUCCCGGGUCUUGCACUCACCGCC
rnacentral:rRNA from 1 species